rnacentral:rRNA from 1 species
UACGUAGGGGGCUAGCGUUGUCCGGAUUUAUUGGGCGUAAAGAGCGUGUAGGCGGCCUGGAAGGUCCGUUGUGAAAACUGGAGGCUUAACCUCCAGACGUCGACGGAAACCGCGUGGCUAGAGUCCGGAAGAGGAGAGUGGAAUUCCUGGUGUAGCGGUGAAAUGCGCAGAUAUCAGGAAGAACACCAAUGGCGAAGGCAGCUCUCUGGGACGGUACUGACGCUGAGACGCGAAAGCGUGGGGAGCGAACAGG